rnacentral:rRNA from 1 species
GAUGAACGCUGGCGGCGUGCUUAACACAUGCAAGUCGAACGGAAAGGCUCCUGCUUGCAGGGGUACUCGAGUGGCGAACGGGUGAGUAACACGUGGGUGAUCUGCCCAGCACUUCGGGAUAAGCCUGGGAAACUGGGUCUAAUACCGGAUAGGACGAUGGUUUGGAUGCCAUUGUGGAAAGUUUUUUCGGUGUGGGAUGAGCUCGCGGCCUAUCAGCUUGUUGGUGGGGUAAUGGCCUACCAAGGCGUCGACGGGUAGCCGGCCUGAGAGGGUGUACGGCCACAUUGGGACUGAGAUACGGCCCAGACUCCUACGGGAGGCAGCAGUGGGGAAUAUUGCACAAUGGGCGCAAGCCUGAUGCAGCGACGCCGCGUGGGGGAUGACGGCCUUCGGGUUGUAAACUACUUUCGCUAGGGACGAAGCGCAAGUGACGGUACCUGGAGAAGAAGCACCGGCUAACUACGUG